rnacentral:rRNA from 1 species
UACGUAGGGGGCUAGCGUUGUCCGGAAUCAUUGGGCGUAAAGCGCGUGUAGGCGGCCCGAUAAGUCCGCUGUGAAAGUCCAGGGCUCAACCCUGGGAUGCCGGUGGAUACUGUCGGGCUCGAGUCCGGAAGAGGCGAGUGGAAUUCCUGGUGUAGCGGUGAAAUGCGCAGAUAUCAGGAGGAACACCAGUGGCGAAGGCGGUUGCCUGGAGCUUUGCUGACGCUGAUGCGCGAAAGCGUGGGGAGCGAUCCGG